rnacentral:tRNA from 1 species
GGUGGGAUGCCGGAGUGGCUGAACGGGGCGGUCUCGAAAACCGCUGUGCACUUUUAGUGUACCGGGGGUUCAAAUCCCUCUCCCACCGCUA